ACUCAAAUGAAUUGACGGGGACCCACACAAGCGGUGGAGCAUGGGGUUUAAUUCGAUAAUAAGCGAAGAACCUCACCCAGGCUUGACAUCCUAGGAACCUGGCCGAAAGGUCGGGGUGCCGCAAGGAGCCUAGAGACAGGCGCUGCACGGUCGUCGUCAGCUCGUGCCUUGAGGUGUACUGUUAAGUCAGCCAACGAGCGCAACCCUCAUCUUAUGUUGUUUUUUCAUAAGAGACUGCCGCCUCCAAGGCGGAGGAAGGUGGGGAUGACGUCAGAUCAGCGUGGCCUUUAUGCCUGGGGCUACACCCAUGCUACAAUGGUCGGUACAAUGAGCAGCGAGCCCGCGAGGGUAAGCAAAUCUCACCAAAGCCGAUCUCAGUUCGGAUUGAAGUCUGCAACUCGACUUCAUGAAGUUGGAAUCGCUAGUAACCGUGGAUCAGCCAUGCCACGGUGAAUAAGUUCCUGGGUCUUGUACACACCGCCCGU
rnacentral:rRNA from 1 species